rnacentral:rRNA from 1 species
UGCGGAACGCGGUCUCGGACAGUGUCUGGUGGGUAGUUUGACUGGGGCGGUCUCCUCCCAAAGAGUAACGGAGGAGCACGAAGGUUUGCUAAUCACGGUCGGACAUCGUGAGGUUAGUGCAAUGGUAUAAGCAAGCUUAACUGCGAGACAGACAAGUCGAGCAGGUGCGAAAGCAGGUCAUAGUGAUCCGGUGGUUCUGAAUGGAAGGGCCAUCGCUCAACGGAUAAAAGGUACUCCGGGGAUAACAGGCUGAUACCGCCCAAGAGUUCAUAUCGACGGCGGUGUUUGGCACCUCGAUGUCGGCUCAUCACAUCCUGGGGCUGAAGUAGGUCCCAAGGGUAUGGCUGUUCGCCAUUUAAAGUGGUACGCGAGCUGGGUUUAGAACGUCGUGAGACAGUUCGGUCCCUAUCUGCCGUGGGCGUUGGAGAAUUGAGAGGGGCUGCUCCUAGUACGAGAGGACCGGAGUGGACGCAUCACUGGUGUUCCAGUUGUCUCGCCAGAGGCAUUGCUGGGUAGCUACAUGCGGAAGAGAUAAGUGCUGAAAGCAUCUAAGCACGAAACUUGCCUCGAGAUGAGUUCUCCCACACUAUAAGUGUGUAAGGGUUGUUGGAGACUACGACGUAGAUAGGCUGGGUGUGUAAGUGUUGUGAGACAUUGAGCUAACCAGUACUAAUUGCCCGAGAGGCUUAACUAU